GGGGAUUUAGCUCAGUGGUUGAGCGCUUGCCUAGGAAGCGCAAGGCCCUGGGUUCAGUCCCCA
rnacentral:tRNA from 1 species